UGGGCGGUCAACAAGCGCGGGCCUGGCUCAACGCGGCGGGGCGAGGAGACCACGAGGCGACCGGGAGCGGCUGGGCUCUCGGCUGCGCGCCCUUCGGCCAGGCCGGGAGCCGCGCCAGUCGGAGCCCCCGGCCCAGCGUGGCCCGCCUCCCUCUCGGCGUCCACCUGUCCGGGGUGCUGCCAGCGGGCAUGACCGACCCACCAGGGGCGCCGCCGCCGGCGCUCGCAGGCCGCGGAUGAAGAAGAAGACCCGGCGCCGCUCGACCCGGAGCGAGGAAUUGACCCGGAGCGAGGAGUUGACCCUGAGUGAGGAGGCAACGCGGAGCGAAGAGGCGACCCAGAGUGAGGAGGCGACUCGGAGCGAAGAGAUG
rnacentral:other from 8 species